UAUCACUUUUAGGUAAACUUAUAUUAGGUACAUAAAGAAUUACAUUAUAAAUAUUUAAAAUGUAAAAAUAAUAAUUAUAAAAUAUCUGCUACGUCUUUAAUAUUGUGGUGUAGAAGAGCCUAGAGGCGACAUUCAUUCAUUAUGGAACGACAGAGCCGACGGACGUAUUGUGAUUGUAUUCUAUUAAAGAUGUAAAAUAUACAAAGUGAAAACUAAUGUCGAGAAUUAUUUAAAAAUCCUGAUAACCUGAAGCUGUGGCUACAGCUUCAGAAGUGGGAUCCCGGAAAAUAACACUAUUUUCUGUUCCACGCCAACGACUACGUUAAAGUUUUCAGAUUCUGAACUAUGGAACGAGCUGAUGAUCAGCCACGGAGAGUGGCCUAUGACUGGUUUAGUGCAGACCCAGGUGUACCCAGGUUCGAGGGUCAGGGUCGGGAAGCACUAGAAAUUAUUAUUCAGAGUAAGCAAGGGUAUUGCGGGUGCGCUAUACCGAAGUAGAGAAAGGUAUUGCGGGUGCGUUAUACCGAGGUAGAGAAGGGUAUUGCGGGUGCGCUAUACCGAUGUAGAGUAUAACACAGAUAAACGGCUUGACGGAGGGCGUCAACGACGGAAAGAAUUUGAAGGGCGGAGAAAUAUAGAGAGAUCUGUUCGUAUACCGGUGGGUGCAAAACGAGGACGUUCGACUAGCUCUUCUCUGGAACGUGGCGAAUUGAGCUAAGAGGAAGAAGUGAAGCUAAGACCAGACACGAGAAGAUGAGGUAAAUUCAAAAUCUCGAGCCGGAUGAUUCAGUUAAUUGAAGUUACCAAUCGAUUCAGUUAAUGAAGAGUUCAAAUUCAGUGGUAGAUUAUUUUGACGAUUCAACAGCAUUUGUAAAAGUUUAAUUUAAAAAAAAAUAUACUUACUUUGAACUUGAAGAUAAAUCAAAGUUAACUUUUAACACUAAUAAUAUUUAUUAUUCCUGAGUUCGAUUUUAUGUCGAGAGAACAAACGAUCCCAAUUUGGCUAAUAAAAGUAGAAGCAUGUUCUGAAAAUUACCAUCCAUUAUACCUUUCCAAAACUAGCUAAUGUAGCUAAGUCAUGGUAUCAGAGCUUACCGAGUAUGAAGGUAUAUGUGGGCCGAAAGGAAAAAUAAACUAAUCGAAUCAUUUUCCUUGCGAACAGACUACGUUGAAUUCUUGACUAACACAAAAUACUGGUUAAGCAAGUUAAAUAUGGAGAAUCUCUUGAGCAAUAAUAUUAUGCUAAGGUAUAUUUAAAACAAAAACAAAUUUUUAAUAAUUAACUAUUGUUCGUUAAUGUAUAAGAGUUAACUGCCAUACUUAUUUGUCAUCAUUUAAAUAUUUGAAACCAUAUUAUCUACAUGGUUAUCAUUUUAUAUUUUCUGUGUAUAUCUUGUUUGAUGCAUAUAUUUAUUUAAGAAUUGCUGUGUACACUGUACACCGGUUGUUGCUUGGAUCCUGAUCUAUUGUUUCUAUAUUUAGACUUUCUACAUUUAUAACCUGUUGGGUGCGCCUUUUUCAAUAAAAUAAAAUAAAAUGAAAUUUGUUAAAUAGGUGUAAAUUAUGGAUAUCAGGCUGUAGAUUGUUUACUGUACGGCGUUGAGGAUAGAGCUGUAAAAGUUAGUGCGUAGGCUGAACAGUUUUCAGAACCAAAAAAAAGUCAUAAAAUAUUUUAGAAUCUUUAAAUUAUGUCAAGCCCCGAAAUCUACGAUUCACAUUUUAAAUUUCGGAAUGAACGUAGGAAUGCUAUUCCAACUGUUAGAUCCAGCAGUUUGAGAGUCGAUACAAGAUGAUAUACCACAAUUAUUGCAAUGAACAUGGUCACCCGAGUUUUAAGUGCAUGAAAUAUCCUGCAAAGUGAUGUACCUGCGAGAUAUCAGGCCAUUUAUCUAUCAUAAUUCACUGUUUUACAAAUAAAACUAACAAAGAUCGCGAAAAGGAUGCGAAUUUCACAAAGGAUAAAAAUGAAGCAAGUUGUUGAAUUACGUCAUACAGUGAAUCUCUAGUGAAUAUAUCGUUUCAAUUAAAAUAAAUAAUAAUUAGGAGACUGUCAUUUGGAGUCGGAAAGUCAGUGUUCUGUCAUUAUGUUAACAAAGGUCACGGAACUCAAUUUAGAAAUAGUUGUACCAAAGGAGUUACCCGUACUCAGAGGCAUUGGUGCCAAUCUUAUAGCUCCAGUAGGUAUGAUGACUGUUUCCGUAGUAGUACAAGGUAUAAAAAAAUAAACCAUUAAUGUGUAUAUCGUUGAAUAUUAUGUUAUUGCCCAGUCAGUCUUAUUGGAUAGAUAGAUAGAAGUCUUUAUUGCACACAAAAACACAUGUAAAGGACUACAACACAGAAAGAAGAAAACAGAAAAAAACAAUUGUGUGCAAAGGCGGCCUUAUUUCUUAGAGCAAUAUCUACCAGGCAACUUUUGCUGAAACAAGAUACUAAUGUUGUAUAGUACCAAAUCGCAAAGAAUUCAUCGAUAUUACUUAUAUAUACCUAUAUUAAUUAAUUAUUAUAUUAAUAAACAUAAUAAAAUAUAAACAUACAUACAUAACUAUUCUAAGUAAAUAAUAUAUAUAUACUAUAUAUGGCAAUAUAGUUUCUUGCAUAACAGGGAUACAUAUAAUAAAAUAAUAAACAAUAUUUAACUAUUAUGGCAAAGAUAAAUAAAAUUCUUUAAGACUAUUUUAAAUAUGGGCAGGGAUUUCGAAUUCCGAAUAUUUUUGGGCAGGUCAUUCCACAGUUGUACAGCAUAUACUGAAAAGGAUUCCACGUAGAAUUUUGUCAUUCAUUAUUAGUAAUCCUUUCACCUAAAACUCGGAUAUUGUUAUCACAAAGACCUCUGCUGCGAUUAGAUUUCAGAAGAUGUCGAGCAUUAAAACACGCUUAGUAGCAAUUAUAAAAAAAAAGAUACAGAAAUACAUCCUAAUACAUUACGUGCUAUUCAGAUUGUUGCCGAACCCAAUACAUGUGGCCAAGUUUUCGUGAACGGUUCGGUUUGUGGUCCGGAAGGGAAGGAAUAUUAUCUUCUCCCGUGAGAGUAAGACAUCAGGGAUAAUCGUGGUGUCCUGCGUAUUUACAACGUUUCCCUGACAUGAUCGUGAAGAGAAGGGAGCACUUUUGACACACGUGAUUCUCAAAGGUUCUGGAUUCAUGCAAUGUUACGUUUUGUGAAUCCCAGGAAAAUGAUGAUCUAAACUGUAAUCAUGAUUUGAGUACAAGUGACCGAUUAAAAAUUACAAGAAUUAGUAAAGAAAUACCUUGAUUGUUUUUCGAACGGACUUCAUGAUCUAGAUGGUGAUUGAAUUCGAGGACAUGAAGACGGUUAUCUACCGACUGUACCACAUGUUAUACGCUGAUCGUACGUUGGUUAGGAACAUGGUACAGAAGAUGGUCGAGCAUUAGACAAUUUGGGAGUCAACCUUAUCAUACGCUAGUCCAAUUUUACUUGUGCAUAAAAUUGGUGAUAAACGCUUUUGUGUAGAUUACAGAACGUUAAGUCGCAAAACUAACAAGGAAUACUAUCCACCCCCUCGUAUCGAAGACCAACUCGACCAAUUAGAAGGCAACAAAGUAUGCACAUCAUUAGAACUGGCCUCAGUGUAUUACCAAAUAUCAGUAGCAGAGGAGUCACGACAGGACAGCUUUUGUAACCCGCGAUGGCCAAUACAAGUACAACCGGAUGCCUAUUGGUUUAGUGAAUGUACCCUUAGUAUUCAAUCGUGUAAUUAAUAAAAUACUGCUCGAGGCAAAAACUAAAUACACUAUCGUCUAUAUGAAUGAUGUCCUUAUUUAUUUAUUUUAUUUAUUUUUAAUUUUUAAGGUAAACUAACAGCAUGAUCACAAAACACUUAUAUAGUACACUGGUACACUGGUAUAGUGGUGUAACACACCACUUACAGGUAUAUACAAUUUGAUAUGAUAAUUAAAAAAAAAAUAGCAUUAAAUUAAUAUCAUUCCAUCUAAGGACGUCGCCAAAGAUCAAAAGCGAUUGGAAGAGGUUUAAAAAAAAAUGCUUGAAGGGGCGGCGGGCUAAAAUUAAGCAAAUGUCAUUUCUUCAUUGAAACCAGAGAUUUUUUUUUGGAUAUUCCUAUAUUGAGGCUGUAACUAAAUUUAAUAAGCUCAUCAAUCAACAUAAACUGCAACAAUUUCUAGGACUAUCUGGAUAUUGAUAGACCUAUACUAGAAUUGUAUAGCCCAAAUGCUGAAGCUCAAGCUGACACGGAUGCCAGUAUGAAAGGUGUAGCUGGUAUCCUUCUUCAGGCGAAUUCAAAUGGAGUUUUCCAGCCUGUGUCAUAUUUUAAUAGAAAAACGAACACGGAGGAGUGUAAGCACCAUUUUUAUGACCUAGACACUGGCGGUGGUCGCAUCUUUAAAUCGGUUUAGAAUCUAUCUUAUUGGUAUUCCUCUUAAAAUAUUUACAAACUGUAACGUGAACUACUCCUGUAAAACCACGAAUUGCUCGAUAGUGCAAUCAAACUCAUGAAGUUGAAUCCACCAUUGAGGAUUCAACAUUAAAUGUAGAAGUGAAGGGAUUCUGAGUGCAGUAUUAAACGAAGCUAUUAAGGUGUCAUCCGAGGAGGAGUUAGCAAGUACUAGAGAAGAAGCAAAAGUUAAAAUAAUAGAAAUAUAAACCAAAUAUAGAGAAAAAUAUAAUAGUCAUAGGAACACUCCCAAACAAUAUUCUGAAGGUGACCUAGUAAGAGUAUAGCGGCAAAUGCCUGACGAUGAGCAGUCACAGAAACUGGUUGUAAAGUAGUAGUCCAUAUCACAUCAUAAAAAUCCUUCCUAAUGAUAGGUGUGUCAUUAAAGAUACGCCGUUAUCGCGUAAAAAUAACCGCUGCUACGAAGCCAUAGGUGCAGUAGACAAAAUACAGCCAGGGCUAAAUUUUUCUAUGGAUUUAGAAAGUAGUUAAAUAUGAAUAAUUAUGACGAUACGAUAAUUGUAAUAUAAUAUGUAAUUAUAAAAAAAUGAUGAAACGUAAUUGUCAAAGCUUUUAAUAUUAUGUUUUAAUUUUUUUUAAAUAUAUCAAAGAAUUCUUAAUUAAUUUUUAGAAUUAGUUACUCUAGUUGAUUGUGUUAUUUUCAAUUAUUAUUUGUUACUAUAAAUUGUAAAUUUCGUAUAACAGAGCGAAGGGACUCGCUCAUUGCAGGAAGGCCGAGCUGUAAGCUCACUUAUCACUUUUAGGUAAACUUAUAUUAGGUACAUAAAGAAUUACAUUAUAAAUAUUUAAAAUGUAAAAAUAAUAAUUAUAAAAUAUCUGCUACGUCUUUAAUAUUGUGGUGUAGAAGAGCCUAGAGGCGACAUUCAUUCAUUAUGGAACGACAGAGCCGACGGACGUAUUGUGAUUGUAUUCUAUUAAAGAUGUAAAAUAUACAAAGUGAAAACUAA